AUUGAACACUGGCGGAAUGCUUUACACAUGCAAGUCGAACGGUAGAGGGGGCAACCCCUCGAGAGUGGCGAACGGGUGAGUAAUAUAUCGGAACGUGCCCAGUCGUGGGGGAUAACGUAGCGAAAGUUACGCUAAUACCGCAUACGAUCUAAGGAUGAAAGCGGGGGAUCGCAAGACCUCGCGCGAUUGGAGCGGCCGAUAUCAGAUUAGGUAGUUGGUGGGGUAAAGGCUCACCAAGCCAACGAUCUGUAGCUGGUCUGAGAGGACGACCAGCCACACUGGAACUGGGACACGGUCCAGACUCCUACGGGAGGCAGCAGUGGGGAACUUUGGACAAUGGACGCAAGUCUGAUCCAGCCAUUCCGCGUGCAGGAUGAAGGCCCUCGGGUUGUAAACUGCUUUUGUACGGAACGAAAAGGUCUCUCUUAAUACGGGGGGCUCAUGACGGUACCGUAAGAAUAAGCACCGGCUAACUACGUGCCAGCAGCCGCAGUAA
rnacentral:rRNA from 1 species